rnacentral:rRNA from 1 species
AUUGAACGCUGGCGGCAGGCCUAACACAUGCAAGUCGAACGAGUGGCGGACGGGUGAGUAAUGUCUGGGAAACUGCCUGAUGGAGGGGGAUAACUACUGGAAACGGUAUCUAAUACCGCAUACCAUCAGAUGCGCCCAGCGGGGAUUAGCUAGUUGGUGGGGUAACGGCUCACCAAGGCGACGAUCCCUAGCCGGGCUGAGAGGAUGACCGGCCACACUGGAACUGAGACACGGUCCAGACUCCUACGGGAGGCAGCAGUGGGGAAUAUUGCACAAUGGGCGCAAGCCUGAUGCAGCCAAGCCGCGUGUAUGAAGAAGGCCUUCGGGUUGUAAAGUACUUUCAGCGGGGAGGCGUUACCCGCAGAGAAAGCACCGGCUAACUCCGUGCCAGCAGCCGCGGUAAUAC